rnacentral:tRNA from 1 species
AGAGAUAUCGUGAAAAGGAAAACACAUCUGAUUUAGGAUCAUAUAUUAAGAGUUCAAACCUCUUUAUCUCUA